UACAGAGGGGGCAAGCGUUGUUCGGAAUUACUGGGCGUAAAGGGCGCGUAGGCGGCCUGUUAAGUCAUACGUGAAAUCCCCGGGCUCAACCCGGGAACUGCGUCUGAUACUGGCAGGCUUGAAUCCGGGAGAGGGAUGUGGAAUUCCAGGUGUAGCGGUGAAAUGCGUAGAUAUCUGGAGGAACACCGGUGGCGAAGGCGGCAUCCUGGACCGGCAUUGACGCUGAGGCGCGAAAGCCAGGGGAGCAAACGGG
rnacentral:rRNA from 1 species